rnacentral:miRNA from 13 species
AGGUUACCCAAGCAACUUUGCAU